rnacentral:rRNA from 1 species
AUUGAACGCUGGCGGCAGGCUUAACACAUGCAAGUCGAGCGAGCGGCGGACGGGUGAGUAAUGUCUGGGAAACUGCCUGAUGGAGGGGGAUAACUACUGGAAACGGUAGAUAAUACCGCAUACCAUCAGAUGUGCCCAGAGGGGAUUAGAUAGUAGGUGGGGUAAAGGGUCACCUAGGCGACGAUCCCUAGCUGUGCUGAGAGGAUGACCAGCCAAACUGGAACCGAGACACGGUCCAGACUCCUACGGGAGGCGGCAGUGGGGAAGAUUGCACCAUGGGCGCAAGCCUGAUGCAGCCAUGCCGAGUGUAUGAAGAAGGCCGUCGGGGUGUAAAGUACUUUCAGCGGGGAGGCGUUACCCGCAGAAGAAGCACCGGCUAACUCCGUGCCAGCAGCCGCGGUAAUAC